GUAUGAAAGGCCGAUCAUGUCAAAAACCCGAUAAAGUAACGCGUUAACAUUUAACGCGAUAAAAUCACGUUUAACGCGAUAAAUACAGUUUUAACGCGUUAAAACAAGAUUUUAACGCGUAAAGAAAUCAAUAUAUUUAACGCGUUAAACGUUGCAAUUAUCAAGUUUGGGAUUUAACCCGUAGGUGAAAAAGACGUUUAUCGCGAUAAAAUACCCGUCGCACUGGCCACAGAUGUCAUAAUCAAUCACACUAACGCGUUAAAUUCAACACAAUUACGUUGCUAAGAUACAUUACUUUAACGCGUUAAAACAUCAUUUAACGCGUUAAAGCAUCAUUUAACGCGUUAAAAUAUCAUUUAACGCGUUAAAAUAUCAUUUAACGCGUUAAAAUAUCGUUUAACG
rnacentral:lncRNA from 1 species